CCCUUAGAUGUUCUGGGCCGCACGCGCGCUACACUGACGAAUGCAACGAGCUUAUAACCUUGGCCGAAAGGUCUGGGUAAUCUCCAAAUUUCGUCGUGAUGGGGAUAGAUUAUUGCAAUUAUUAAUCUUCAACGAGGAAUGCCUAGUAAGCGCAAGUCAUCAGCUUGCGUUGAUUACGUCCCUGCCCUUUGUACACACCGCCCGUCGCUCCUACCGAUUGAAUGGUCCGGUGAAGCGCUCGGACCGCGGCCUCUUGACGGUUUUCCGUCGAUUGGCUGUGGGAAGUUCGUUAAACCUUAUCAUUUAGAGGAAGUAGAAGUCGUAACA
rnacentral:rRNA from 1 species